CGGAAACGAUUUGGACGCCAUUUUGUUUCGCUUCUACUGUAAUGUUAAACCGGUAUUUUUGAUAGGAUAAUCUCAGACAGUCAAAGGUUGACAGUUCCAGUUGAGGUUGGCAGUUCACCAGUUGACAUCUAUGGAGUAUGCGUAUAUCAGUUCAUGGUAUUAAACAUCCAGUUCCUGGAUAUCCUGCCUGGUUCAAUGUCAUUUAUGCUGAUGAUCAGGCGGUCUAUUCUAUUCAGCUUGGUGAUGAUUAUCGAGAGGGAGAUGUAGUCAUCAAGGCUUGAUGUUAAUUUUAAUAAUGUUAAGUAUGUGAGCAAACAAGAAAUAAGCUGUUAAAUGUUUUAGUUGAUGUCCUUACUGUUCAUUGAAUUGUUGGGAAAUGUUAAUAAGUCAUCAAUGCUGGCCGAAAAGCUUGGGGCGCAGUUUUUUUUACUUUGUUGAUAGUAAAUGCAACUAGGUGUUAGUUAUUCUCGUAGAUUUUGAGAAAAGUGGCAUUAAUAUUAUUUAUUAACGUUUGCUGUAAUAUAAUGUGUAACAGUGUUAGAAAAUAAAGCUUGAUGAAUUACUGUGGUGGAUCUGUGUU